GACGAACGCUGGCGGCGUGCUUAACACAUGCAAGUCGAACGGAAAGGCCCUGCUUUUGUGGGGUGCUCGAGUGGCGAACGGGUGAGUAACACGUGAGUAACCUGCCCUUGACUUUGGGAUAACUUCAGGAAACUGGGGCUAAUACCGGAUAGGAGCUCCUGCUGCAUGGUGGGGGUUGGAAAGUUUCGGCGGUUGGGGAUGGACUCGCGGCUUAUCAGCUUGUUUGUGGGGUAGUGGCUUACCAAGGCUUUGACGGGUAGCCGGCCUGAGAGGGUGACCGGCCACAUUGGGACUGAGAUACGGCCCAGACUCCUACGGGAGGCAGCAGUGGGGAAUAUUGCACAAUGGGCGGAAGCCUGAUGCAGAAACGCCGCGUGCGGGAUGACGGCCUUCGGGUUGUAAACCGCUUUCGCAUGUGACGAAGCGUGAGUGACGGUAAUGGGUAAAGAAGCACCGGCUAACUACGUG
rnacentral:rRNA from 1 species